rnacentral:lncRNA from 1 species
AGUGCUGGGAUUACAGGCGUGAGCCACCGCGCCCGGCCGCGUGUUGCUUUAAGCCGGUACAUUUGUGGUAAUUUGUUACAGCAGCUAUGGGAAACGAUUCCAGAAUGCAACAGAAGAGAGUGCACGGCUUCUGAGGUUGCAGCUUUUGGGAGAAGCCAUCUACCAUUGAUGACAGACAUGCCGUGUGGAAACCAAACCAGCCAUGUGGAGAGGCUACCUGGACAGAGGCACAGGGCCAGCAGCAGCUGUGGAGACAGACAUGUGAGCAAAGAAAUCAUCUUUGAUGUACAGCCAAGUUGAGCCUUCAGAUGACUCCGAUUUCAGCCACCUUUGGACUGCAACCACAUGAAAGACUCUAAAUAGAAGCCUCCCAGCUGAUCCCGGUUAACCCACAGUGCUGAAGGGGAUAAUAAUAAAUUGUUGUUUUAAGCCACUAAGUUUUGUGGGCCUUUGUUGCAUAGCAAUAGAUUAUCCAAACUAUUUUUUUUAUUGCAAGGUAUUCUAGGUGUCUGCUGAGCUCAGGAAACUGGGAACUCCUUCAAGGCAGGGCCUGCAUUUUAGCAUUUUUGUUAUUGUGAGAGCUAAAUCCUUCGGCAUGGAGAGGCAAACCUGGAAUAUUCAAACAGUACUUUGUUAGAAGUCUUGGGAUAACAUAAGAAGCAAAUACAGAGAAGUGUAUGAAAUGCUAAUCUGUCUACAAAAUGUAUCUUAUUCAUUUUCUGCUGUGGUCCACCAUGGGAUGCUUCUAUUCCAGGCACUUGACCAGCUUCUAGGUGACAGAGGUCAUUUUUUUCUUUACAUACUUUUGAAAAAGUAAAUACACUGAUUUAAAAUAAAUUGGUUUAAAAUGGAAAGAUACAAAAGUCUCCCUCUCAUCCCCAUCCACAGCCAUCUGAUUCCCUCCAAAGGGCUCCAAUAAUGCCAGUUUCUUGUGUACUGUCCUGGAAAUAUUUGAUCACCUAUAUAAGCAUUUUAUAUGUGCAUAUGCUAUACAUCUAUCUGCACAUAUAUGGAAUAAAUAUGCUUAUGUAUGCUAGCAUACUAUGUGCACUUUUUUCAUAUAAUAAUAUAUCUUGGAGAUCUUCCCAUAUUGUUCUUUUUUAUGGCUACCUAGUAUUCUGUUGUUUC